AAAGUGUAAGUCAGUUGUGACUUUGGAAAAGCAGAUAGAAACAAAUGAAACCCAAAUACUAGAACUCACCAAGGAGGUUGAGAAGAUAAAUAGUGAAAUCCUUCAAUUGCAGAGCAAAGUAACCAUCUUGUCUGAUGAACGUGAGGACUUGGAGAAAACCCUUGAAACAGCUAUGAAUGAACAGAAAACCUUGAAGGAAAUUACACAACAGCUGGAGACUAAGCUACAAGAAUCUGAAGACCAGUUAUCAGUUGCCCAAAGAGAGGAAGUAGAGUUAGAGAAGGAGAUAGAGAGACUGAAGAAGGACACUGAGAAACAUGAGGAGGAAUGUAAGAAACUGACAGAAAAUUUGAAUCAGCUGAUGAUACAGAAGAACACAAUUCUGCAACAAGUGGAAGGGAGCACAUCUGAGACUAAGGCUCUUGAAAGCCUUC